AACGAACGCUGGCGGCAUGCCUAACACAUGCAAGUCGAACGAGACCUUCGGGUCUAGUGGCGCACGGGUGCGUAACGCGUGGGAACCUGCCUUUAGGUUCGGAAUAACUCAGAGAAAUUUGAGCUAAUACCGGAUAAUGUCUUCGGACCAAAGAUUUAUCGCCUUUAGAUGGGCCCGCGUAAGAUUAGCUAGUUGGUGGGUAAAGGCCUACCAAGGCGACGAUCUUUAGCUGGUCUGAGAGGAUGAUCAGCCACACUGGGACUGAGACACGGCCCAGACUCCUACGGAGGCAGCAGUGGGGAAUAUUGGACAAUGGGCGAAAGCCUGAUCCAGCAAUGCCGCGUGAGUGAUGAAGGCCUUAGGGUUGUAAAGGCUCUUUUACCCGAGAUGAUAAUGACAGUAUCGGGAGAAUAAGCUCCGGCUAACUCCGUGCCAGCAGCCGCGGUAAU
rnacentral:rRNA from 1 species